rnacentral:rRNA from 1 species
AUUGAACGCUGGCGGAAUGCUUUACACAUGCACGUCGAACGGCAGCACGGACUUCGGUCUGGUGGCGAGUGGCGAACGGGUGAGUAAUGUCUGGGGAUCUGCCCGAUAGAGGGGGAUAACCACUGGAAACGGUGGCUAAUGCCGCAUAACGUCGCAAGACCAAAGAGGGGGACCUUCGGGCCUCUCACUAUCGGAUGAACCCAGAUGGGAUUAGCUAGUAGGCGGGGUAAUGGCCCACCUAGGCGACGAUCCCUAGGCUGUCUGAGAGGAUGAACAGCCACACUGGAACUGAGACACGGUCCAGACUCCUACGGGAGGCAGCAGUGGGGAAUAUUGCACAAUGGGCGCAAGCCUGAUGCAGCCAUGCCGCGUGUAUGAAGAAGGCCUUCGGGUUGUAAAGUACUUUCAGCGGGGAGGAAGGCGACGCGGUUAAUAACCGCGUCGAUUGACGUUACCCGCAGAAGAAGCACCGGCUAACUCCGUGCCAGCAGCCGCAGUAA